CAGGGUGUGAAAUUGUGAAUUAAGGUGGAAAAGUGAAUUGCAAUUUUCGUUACAAGUUUGUUGAACUAUCACCCUGAAAUGAGAAACAUACCUUGUUUCUUGUUUCUGACAAUUUUCAAGGAAAAAGCCUUAACAUGGUGAACAACAAUAUCAAAAAACAGACUUAUGAAAUAUCUUGGCUUAAACUUUAUCGUUUCGUAUAGGUGACGUAGCUAAUUCUAUUUUCCCGAUGACGUGUAUUUAACGAGGACCAUGUUGUGAAAUGUAAGUCUAACCUAGAGUUUCAUGAAAACAAAAAAAAACAGGAAAGCAAUGAUGGCAACAUUGAUGAUAAUAAUGGAGGAUAUGUGAAUUU